rnacentral:rRNA from 1 species
UCUGUAGCAAGGUUAACCGCAUAGGGGAGCCGGAGGGAAACCGAGUCUUAACUGGGCGUUAAGUUGCAGGGUAUAGACCCGAAACCCGGUGAUCUAGCCAUGGGCAGGUUGAAGGUUGGGUAACACUAACUGGAGGACCGAACCGACUAAUGUUGAAAAAUUAGCGGAUGACCUGUGGCUGGGGGUGAAAGGCCAAUCAAACCGGGAGAUAGCUGGUUCUCCCCGAAAGCUAUUUAGGUAGCGCCUCGUGAAUUCAUCUCCGGGGGUAGAGCACUGUUUCGGCUAGGGGGCCAUCCCGGCUUACCAACCCGAUGCAAACUGCGAAUACCGGAGAAUGUUAUCACGGGAGACACACGGCGGGUGCUAACGUCCGUCGUGAAGAGGGAAACAACCCAGACCGCCAGCUAAGGUCCCAAAGUCAUGGUUAAGUGGGAAACGAUGUGGGAAGGCCCAGACAGCCAGGAUGUUGGCUUAGAAGCAGCCAUCAUUUAAAGAAAGCGUAAUAGCUCACUGGUCGAGUCGGCCUGCGCGGAAGAUGUAACGGGGCUAAACCAUGCACCGAAGCUGCGGCAG